CUCAUAUGAGAAACACCUUAGCAACAGAACGGGCCAGAUGGAUGCGUUUUGUUUAAUGUCACCAGCUGAUAUCUUCUGGACAUACUGAAACACAAAGAAGACGGCCUGGUUUGACUUACGGAUUUUUUCCCAUUAAAUUACAUCUCAUUGCAUAUAUUACCACAACAUGUCCGUGAAGUAGAUAAUAAAGACACCACUAUUGUUCCCAUACUACAGGGUUGGAAACCAACACCUCAUGGCUGAAGAAUAUGAAGAAAGUCUACGGUCACAGAGAUACAUCAUUGAAAAAGAAAAGGAAUAGGAUUGUUCUGGCCCAUCUGUACUCUCUCAGCUCCACUGACCCAGCACACACACAAGAGCAGUGAUCAGAGGACUAACGGCAGCAACUGGAAGCCAUGGCAUAGCGAGAAGCAGAGGACCCGUGCAGGGACAGUCCCUGAACUCUGAGCCAAGUCCACUGGCGGGAACCUCAGCAGCCACACAGCCACCCUGAAAGGCGCCGGGGUCUGCUCCACUGUUGCACUGCUCGCAGCCACACCUGCUACCACCAAAGCAGGUCCUGCUGAGUGUGUGGAUUGGAGAAAAACUGGAUGGUGCUCACACAGGUUUCCUGACCCCUGGAGGAUGCUGGAUUUCUGGUUUCCUUGUGGGUGUGAGAUGUGGAAAUGACAGCAUUGACAGCGAGCCAGGACCGGCGCACUCUCAGAGGGAUCAGCCCCUCGUGGAUCUGCCCCAUCU